GCCGGUGUGGCUCAGUGGUAGAGUGUCAGCCUGACACCCAACGGUCACAGGUUCAAUUCCUGGUCAAGGGUA
rnacentral:tRNA from 1 species